UACAGAGGUCUCAAGCGUUGUUCGGAUUCAUUGGGCGUAAAGGGUGCGUAGGUGGCGGGGUAAGUCAGGUGUGAAAUCUCGAGGCUCAACCUCGAAACUGCACUUGAUACUGCCUUGCUCGAGUACUGGAGAGGAGAUUGGAAUUUACGGUGUAGCAGUGAAAUGCGUAGAUAUUGGGAAGAACACCGGUGGCGAAGGCGGCAACCUGGUCCUUGACUGACGCUGAGGCGCGAAAGCGUGGGGAGCAAACAGG
rnacentral:rRNA from 1 species